rnacentral:rRNA from 1 species
GUGGGGAAUAUUGGACAAUGGGCGAAAGCCUGAUCCAGCCAUGCCGCGUGUGUGAAGAAGGUCUUCGGAUUGUAAAGCACUUUAAGUUGGGAGGAAGGGCAGUAAGUUAAUACCUUGCUGUUUUGACGUUACCGACAGAAUAAGCACCGGCUAACUUCGUGCCAGCAGCCGCGGUAAUACGAAGGGUGCAAGCGUUAAUCGGAAUUACUGGGCGUAAAGCGCGCGUAGGUGGUUUUGUAAGUUGGAGGUGAAAUCCCCGGGCUCAACCCGGGAACUGCCUUCAAAACUGCAUGACUAGAGUACGGUAGAGGGGAGUGGAAUUGCCUGUGUAGCGGUGAAAUGCGUAGAUAUAGGAAGGAACACCAGUGGCGAAGGCGACUACCUGGACUGAUACUGACACUGAGGUGCGAAAGCGUGGGGAGCAAACAGGAUUAGAAACCCGGGUAGUCC